ensembl:lncRNA
UACUAAUGUAUUUAGUGAGCCUUAAUACAAUGUUGCCAAGAUAGUAGCCACCUAGCCCCAGGGGCGCAGAUAGCACUGGGGACGGGGGGGACAUGUCCCCCCCAGAUUCAUAGUGACCCAGAUCCGUCCCCAGCACUCUCCCUACGUAAGGCGACAAUCAUCAGUUAAUAACUCUGCACAGCUGAUUAGGCGAUGUUAGCGUCCCCCCCAGUUAAAAAAUCCCAUCUGCACCGCUGCCUAGCCCGUCCACAUGUAGGAUAAUUAGCCUACUUCAAAUGGUAACAGAUGAUAAAUUGCUGUCAACUAAUGGCUCUUUAUCAUACUGUAGCAUUCAGCACAAUUUAAGGUCACACUGAUUAAGUUACAACAGAACAUCGUCUUUAUUUUUGGCUGUUGUCGGCCACAGCCACGCCUUACAGAACCAAUUAACCUUUGACCUUGCAGGACACGUUUUCCCACGUAACAUUAGAACAGGCACUCAUACAGUAACUCUCCACACAUCACACAUCACACCCCCCCACGCACACACACACACACACACCAUAAUAGGGAUGGCCUCUCUCUAAACUCCUACCAACAUUGGUCCAGGCAAUAGUGCACUAUUGUUUAAAAGUGUACAUCUCAUAACAGCACAUCUGAUAACUUUAUACCCCAUGGUGAACUUGAGCAUGCCACAAUACCAUCAGUAUACUUACACCUGACCCACCCUCUUCUAGGUGCGUCAUUAUUUAGGUGUGCACUUUUAUUUAUCCAAUCUAUCCAUAAUCUUGAUCUAUAGAACUGUCAGAUAACAAAGGCAGAACACUUCAUUGUAACCUGCCCACUUGUCUGCAUGUCUGAGCUACAACAUGUGCUGUGCCUGGCCGAAGUCACUGACAGCUACCUAUGCCAAUGCGAGACUCGUGAAUGACGUGAUCUGUGUAGUUAUACAGUUAUGCGUCACGGCAGGCUGCCUGAGGGGACAAGAUGUUUGCAUGAAAACUCAUCCCUUCCCAUUAACAUAUUAGCCCCAAUUCUGUGUUUUAAAUGUUGUUGAUGUUUUUUUUUGGUUAUGUUGGGUGGGCACGUGCCCUCCUUGAGUCAAUGGGAACAAUGCCACUGGGUGGCAGCAUCAUAUUGUGGAUGUGUUUUUCAGCAGCAGGGACUGGGUGACUGGUCAGGAUUGAGGGAAAGUUGAACAGAGCAAACGACAGAGCGUUCAGGACCUCAGAUUGGGCUGAAGGUUCUCCCUCCAACAGGACAAUGACCAUAAGCACAAAACGACACAGGAGUGGCUUAGGGACAACUCUGUGAUGGUCCUUGAGUGGCCCAGCCAGAGCCCUGACUUGAACCCACUUGAAAAUCUCUGGAUAGACCGAUGGGCCCUAUCCAACAUGACAGAGCUUGACAGGAUCUGCAGAGAAGAAUGGCUGAAAAUUCCCAAAUCCAGGUGUGCAAAGCUGGUUGCGUCAUACCCAAGAAGACUUGAUGCUGUAAUGGAUGCCAAAGGUAAUUCAACUAAGUACUGAGUAAAGGGUCUGAAUACUUACAUCAACGUAAUGUUUGUUUUUCCUUUUUGAUAAACUCGCAAACAUUUCUAAAAUCCUUUUUUUGCUUCGUCAUUGUGGGGUAUUAAGCGUAGAGUGUAGAUUUAAGCAUAAGGCUGUAACAUAACAAAUGUGGGAAAAGUGUAGGGUUCUGAACACUGAAUGCAUUUCCACUGUAUACUCUGGUACUGAUGAGAGGGUAGGGAAGAGAUUUCGCAGAUCCAGAGGCAGCGUGUGUCUAGGUGUGUGAUGUGGAGGCACCUUAUUGCAGUCUGCCUACUUUCAUCGGCCUACUUUUCAUAAAAAGAGAGAACUCUGAAAUAUGCUCAAGCCAAAUUUUAUUUAUUUUCCAAUUGUUGGUCACUUAAAAUAUGCACAUGUGACAUAAACAUGUCCAGGGAUGAAGUUGUGCAUUCCUUGCUAAAAUGGUGUUCGGAGGGGGCGGAUCAAAUGAAAAGUAACAUCGGAAAAGCUGCACAGCUAGAUAAUCUGCCUCCUUUUCUUCAACUCACAUCACAGCGCCUCGGAAGUGAGCAAGUGACUCCCUCCAAAAAGAUCAUUGCAUAUACUGUAUACUACACCCUCAAAUGCAGUCACCGGUGGUCAUCUACCACGGCCCAGAAAAACUUUGUACUCAACUCACAGCUAACUGAUUUUAAAUGUAGAUUUCCUGGAAUAGGAUUACUGUGUAAUGCCAAAUCCAGGGUUUCUUAACUGUUCCCAUGAAGGAUUGUCAGUUGAAAAUAUGGUUAGGCUAUUUUUCACUCUAGCUGUAAUCUUUAUCUGGAACAACCCACAUUCCAUUUGUACUUACACCUUACUAAAAUAAGGGACAAAUUACAUUUCUUUCUGUGACAAUGUGACAAACCUUACAUGUAGGUUCCACAUGUUGUUUUUUUUACAGGAAAUGUUGUCAGUGUGAUUCGUAUACAGUUAUAAAUUAUGACUACAAUAUCUGGUACCUCAAAAAUGUAUAAAGCUUCCUUUUCUUAAUUGGUAAUCACACAUAUUGCCUAAGCUUCUUUUGUACAUGGACAUAUCUUUUAAAUAUGAAUAGUAAGUAGAUUAAAAGUACAUCAAGGAAAGUGUGUCCAAACAAAAGACUUUGAGAAAAUUAAGAUUAAGCUGUAAACCUAAGCCCUCGAUUAGUUUUGACUCCGACCCCCACAAAUGGCAUAGACCUGCUGUACUAACACCAGUCAAUGGCAUGUCCCGUUCCAUUUCCAUUUAACAGAACAUCAGAAUAUAUUCCUUUUUUUCUCGUAUCAUACUGCAAUUUUAAAGGAAACAAAACAAACAAACAGCAAAUUCCAGAGGUGCUCUCUACACCGAACACAUUCAUCUCGUAUGCAAACCUGCUCCAAAAGGCCACUCAUGCUGCAACAAACUCAAGUGCUUAGUGUGCAUCCUUCCAGAGUGAUUCGAGAAAACUGCAGUUCAAGGCACACCCACUGGGGGGGGGAGCAUUUCAUCUCAAGUACACAGCUGGCGUUCAAGUUCCGGUUAAAGUUCUAUUUUAAAGCAGUGAAGUUUACAGCGAAGGGCCUGGGUGCAGGAGGACGAAGGCUUGCAGGCGGAAGCGAUUGGCACAGGUGACCUGGAUGGGAAGGGAUUCACAGUGAUGUGAUGUUUCUAAUAGCUGUCCUCCUCCUCUCCUACCCAUUGUACUGUAUGGAGUGGCAACAGUCAAUUCUACACCCCCAUUCUACACUAACAGAUAUAUCCAGAUAUAUCCAUAUGUCUAUAUACGCCUUAUGUACACACAGCGAUGGCUUCCAUACAUACAGUGGCCAUCAUGUCUACUGCAUUGUGUACAUACUUGGAGCAGUGGUCCUUUGUACAGAAAUUUGUAAGUAUAUAUACAUAGCUACAGUACUUGGCUGGGUGGUAGACUUCAAGCACACACACAUACACUCAGCUAGGUACAAAUGCGUCUUGACUAUGAUAAAUUAUAUACACACAUGGUGUCUUUCAAACCAACAAAUCAAAACGAUUAUAUACAGCCACCAGGAUAAUGCCCAUAGCAUAUGUACAGAACAUGAUGGAAGAGCAUGUCUACAUGAAUCCCAAUAUUUACAUUCUCCAAUAGGUUAAAUAACACACUUUGGGUUAUAUGAUGUUCCAGAUCGUGAAAUAAACAAGAGGGCUCUUGUACCGCAUAGUGUAGGGAUUUUCUGGCUACACUGUACAGACUAAAAACACCACCUUGAAUUUGAACAUGGUUUGAAUCUAGAGAGUACUGGUUCUAGGAUUGGGGGGGGUGCUGAGGUGAGGUGGGGGCGGUCCAUGGGGGUGAGGAGGCAUCGGGGAAGACAAACACCCGUGGACUGGAGGGCGAGGACACCCCAGCCCACUGGGUCACGUAGACGGGUGAGCUCAGUAGUCCUCCAAACGCUGCGGGUGGAAUGACGCUUGACGCUUCAUGAAGCAAAGUAGCAGGAUCCAGACCAGCACCUGAGGGACAGCUGUCAAUCAUGGGCCAGGAGAGAAGCAGCUGCUGAGCAGCAGCAGCACCCCCUGCUGGUGUGGAAGCCACCUGGG